rnacentral:rRNA from 1 species
CCCUAUUAUUAAAGAUAGUGUAAAAAUUAAUAUAAGUGAAAUUUAAAGAUAUUGGCGGUUAAUUUUUUUUUAGAGGAGCUUGUAAUUAAUAGAAUUGGCUCUUUAUAUUUUGGUGAUAGAAGAUUUAUUCAUCUCCGUUAUCAAAUAAGUUAAAGUAAAUAUUUUUAGUAUAUCAGGUCAAGAUGUAGUAUCUAUUACAUAUUAUUAGCUACAUUUAUAAAAUAGAUGGAUAUUUAUAGGUAGAUAAACUUUGAAACUGAAUUUAAUUGUAAUAGUAAUUAAAAGGUUAUUAUGAAUAGAUAUAAUUAGUGUA